rnacentral:rRNA from 1 species
AUUGCACGCUGGCGGCAGGCCUAACACAUGCAAGUCGAACGAGUGGCGGACGGGUGAGUAAUGUCUGGGAAACUGCCCGAUGGAGGUGGCUAACUACUGGAAACGCUAGCUAAUACCGCAUACUAUCGGAUGUGCCCAGAUGGGAUGAGCUUGUGGGUGAGGUAACGGCUCACCUAGGCUACGACGCCUAGAUGGUCUGAGCGGAUGACCAGCAACACUGGAAAUGAGAAAAGGUUGAGAAUAGUACGUGGGGAAGUAGUGGGGAAUAUGGAACAAUGGGACAAAGCUUGAUGUAGUCAUGUCGAGUGUAUGAAGAAGGUCUUCGGGUUGUAAAGGAGUUGCAGCGGGGAGGCGUUAACCGCAGAAGAAGCACCGGCUAACUCCGUGCCAGCAGCCGCGGUAAUAC